CUCAAGCCCAAGAACGAAAGUUUUGGUCCUGAACCUAUCACUAUUUUUUCCCAACACUAUACAUGCAAGCCUCAACAAAACAGUGAGUAACCCACCAAAUCAUAAAGAACAAACGGAGUAAGCAUUAGACCCGGGUCCCCGUCAAAAAACCAGGGCGCCGCCCCACGCCUACACAGGAAUUCAGCAGUAAUUAACAUUAGGCCAUAAGCGGAAGCUUGACCUAGAUAUUGGAAAAAAAGCCGGUAAAACUCGUGCCAGCUACCGCGGUUAUACGAGAGGCUUAAAAUAGCGCCCUUCGGCGAAAACAUGGCCAGAGCACAUCAAAAGCCUAAGGAAAAAGGAAAAGCGAGCUGUCCAACGCUAAGAACAAACGAACCCCCUUCCCUAGACCCCCCCCGACCCCUUAAACCAUAAAAGCCGGGAAACAAACUAGGAUUAGAGACCCUACUAUGCCCGGUUGUAAAAGGCCGCACGCCCGCCCGACAAGUACGAGCGAAAGCUUAAAACUCAAAGGACCUGACGGUGCCCCACAUCCCCCUAGAGGAGCCUGUCCCGUAAUCGACACCCCACGCUAAAACCUCACCGCCCCUAGCCAAUCAGUCUAUAUACCGCCGUCGUCAGUUCACCCUGCAAAAGAACAAAAGUGAGCAAAACAGCUCAUUACGCUAAAACGACAGGUCAAAGCGUAGCACAUGAGGCGGGCUGAGAUGGGCUACAUUUUCUAAAAUAGACCACACCAAGAAGCGCAUGAAACAACGCCAAACAGGCGGAUUUAGCAGUAAGGUGAAACAGAAAGACCGCCUGAACACGGCACUGGGGCACGCACACACCGCCCGUCACCCCCCUCAACCCGCAGUAAAAGCUCCAUAAAACCAAAGCACCCCUGAAGAUGGGGAAAGUCGUAACAAGGUGAGCGUACUGGAAGGUGCGCUCGUACAC
rnacentral:ncRNA from 1 species